rnacentral:lncRNA from 1 species
AUGUGUGCGGGGGUGUGCGCGUGCUUGUGUUGCAUGUGCACCUCUGUGCAUGUAUGUGGAUGCAUGUGGGUGUGCAUGUGUGUGCACAUGUCUGUGUGGACUGCAGGUGUGCAUGCACGCUUGUGUCGUGUGCACCUGUGUGCAUGUAUGGAUGCAUGUGUGUGUAUGCAUGGUCUGUGUGGACGUGUGCGGGUGUGCGUGCGCACCUGUGUGCAUGUAGAUGCGUGUGGGUGUGCAUGUGUGUGUAUGCAUGGUCUGUGUGGACGUGUGCGGGUGUGCGUGCGCACGUGUGUGCAUGUAGAUGCGUGUGGGUGUGCAUGUGUGUGCGCAUGGUCUGUGUGGACGUGUGCGGGUGUGCGUGCACACCUGUGUGCGUGUGGAUGCGUGUGGGUGUGCAUGUGUGUGCACAUGGUCUGUGUGGACGUGUGUGCGAGUUUGUGUUGUGUGCACCUGGGGUGUGCAUGUGUGUGCGCAUGGUCUGUGUGGACGUGUGCGGGUGUGCGUGCACACCUGUGUGCGUGUGGAUGCGUGUGGGUGUGCAUGUGUGUGCACAUGGUCUGUGUGGACGUGUGUGCGAGUUUGUGUUGUGUGCACCUGNCGGGUGUGCGUGCGCACCUGUGUGCGUGUAGAUGCGUGUGGGUGUGCAUGUGUGCGCAUGGUCUGUGUGGACGUGUGCGGGUGUGCGUGCACACCUGUGUGUGUGUGGAUGGUGUGGGUGUGCACGUGUCUGUGGACGUGGGCGGGUGUGCACGUGUAUGCAUCUGGCGUGUGGAUGCGUGUGUGUGCACAUGCGAGGGUGCGUGUGCGCACGCAUGCACACGGUCUAGCGUAACCAAAGUGAAAAGCAGUUGUGUGUCCCGAGAUGGAGGGAGCGUGCAGGGAGCAGACUGCCCUGGGUGGGCAUUGGGCGGGACGGCCCGAGAGCCCAGGGCAGGACGUGGCCAGGGGCCCAGCAGCGGCCCCGGCGAGGAGCGAAGGCUCUUGUCCGGAUGUUUCCCCCAGAGUCCGUGUGCAGUUUGUCGCAGAGGCGCCGGGUGUCGGGCGCUGCACGUCACCUCCCCUUUGUGCGGCGGCUUUUAG